CGCUUCUUAGCGGAGCCUGGGUGUGGCCGGGUCUCCUCGGGGACCUCUCUAUCUUCCGCUGCACCCUGGGCAUUAAGGACAGCUUUGCCUCUGCUUGAACAAGCUCCCCAGCCCACCUCUUCACUCUCUCUGCUUGCCUCCCUGCCUUGCUCCCCGCCCGGGGAGCUGACUCGCUUGCUUUUGGGCGCCCAGUCUCCUCCCCUAGCACCCCUUUGUCUCCUAUUCACUCCCCUGUUCAUUUCUGUUUCCAGUGCAAUGUGCCACCCCAAGCCCUCCCACCUCCCCUGCUUCCCCGACUCCACCAGUCAACCCCCUAUCGUCUGACCGCCCACGGGGCGCCGACAGCAGCCAUACCAUGCGGGUCUGAGCUCUGACUGCAAGCCCUGGCUGAGGCCAAUGCUGUGAAGCUACACAGAGCC
rnacentral:lncRNA from 1 species